rnacentral:rRNA from 1 species
GAUGAACGCUGGCGGCGUGCCUAAUACAUGCAAGUCGAACGGGAUAAGUAGCAAUACGUAUCUAGUGGCGAACGGGUGAGUAACGCGUUGGUGACCUGCCCCGAAGCGUGGGAUAACAGUUCGAAAGGAUUGCUAAUACCACAUGUGGUUAUGUUUGUUAGAGGAGCAUAACUAAAGGAGAAAUUCACUUCGGGAGGGGCCUGCGUCCCAUCAGCUAGUUGGUGAGGUAAAAGCCCACCAAGGCGAUGACGGGUAGGGGACCUGAGAGGGUGGCCCCCCACAAUGGAACUGAAACACGGUCCAUACACCUACGGGAGGCAG